GUAAAUAUAGUUUAACAAAAACACUAGAUUGUGGAUCUAGAAACAGAAACUUAAUAUUUGUUAUUUACC
rnacentral:tRNA from 1 species